AGAAUCAACGCUGGCGGCGUGCCUAACACAUGCAAGUCGCACGAGAAAGGGUAGCAAUACCUGAGUACAGUGGCGCACGGGUGAGUAACACGUGAAUAAUCUACCUCCGAGUGGGGAAUAACUGAGAGAAAUCUUAGCUAAUACCGCAUAACACUUACGAGUCAAAGCAGCAAUGCGCUUGGAGAGGAGUUCGCGGCAGAUUAGUUAGUUGGCGGGUAAUGGCCCACAAGACGAUGAUCUGUA
rnacentral:rRNA from 1 species